GACGAACGCUGGCGGCGUGCUUAACACAUGCAAGUCGAACGAUGAACCGGAGCUUGCUCCGGGGAUUAGUGGCGAACGGUGAGUAACACGUGGGCAACCUGCCCCCAGACACCGGGAUAACCCUUCCGAAAGGAUGGCUAAUACCGGAUACGACCACUUCGGGCAUCCGACGGUGGUGGAAAGGAUUCUGGUCUGGGAUGGGCCCGCGGCCUAUCAGCUUGUUGGUGGGGUAAUGGCCUACCAAGGCGACGACGGGUAGCCGGCCUGAGAGGGCGACCGGCCACACUGGGACUGAGACACGGCCCAGACUCCUACGGAGGCAGCAGUGGGGAAUAUUGCGCAAUGGGCGAAAGCCUGACGCAGCGACGCCG
rnacentral:rRNA from 1 species